UCUGAAUCCGCACAUCCUCACGAGUGAAUAUUCCCCACUUGCAUUUUUCUCAAGCCAUUACUGAUUGUCACCAUAUGGAUCUAAGCUUGGAGAAGAAAGGAAGGAAAGGUCAAGAGAAGAGAGCAGGGAGAGCUGCAGACAGCAUGAAGUGUGGUGUUCUUGUCUCCUCAAAGCCAGCAGGAAGUAGCCACAUUGCUGUGAAAUACAAUCAAGUCCUUUUUACUCGCUGACUUCUGCUUUUGGGGACUGAUU